rnacentral:rRNA from 1 species
UACGGAGGGAGCUAGCGUUAUUCGGAAUUACUGGGCGUAAAGCGCACGUAGGCGGCUUUGUAAGUUAGAGGUGAAAGCCUGGAGCUCAACUCCAGAAUUGCCUUUAAGACUGCAUCGCUUGAAUCCAGGAGAGGUGAGUGGAAUUCCGAGUGUAGAGGUGAAAUUCGUAGAUAUUCGGAAGGAACACCAGUGGCGAAGGGCGGCUCACUGGACUGGUAUUUGACGCUGAGGGUGGCGAAAAGCGUGGGGGAGCAAACAGGG